CCUGGCUCACGAUGAACGCUAGCGACAGGCUUAACACAUGCAAGUCGAGGGGCAGCGGGGUGUAGCAAUACACCGCCGGCGACCGGCGCACGGGUGAGUAACGCGUAUGCAACUUGCCUAUCAGAGGAGGGAUAACCCGGCGAAAGUCGGACUAAUACCGCAUGAAGCAGGGGUCCCGCAUGGGGAUAUUUGCUAAAGAUUCAUCGCUGAUAGAUAGGCAUGCGUUCCAUUAGGCAGUUGGCGGGGUAACGGCCCACCAAACCGACGAUGGAUAGGGGUUCUGAGAGGAAGGUCCCCCACAUUGGUACUGAGACACGGACCAAACUCCUACGGGAGGCAGCAGUGAGGAAUAUUGGUCAAUGGGCGUAAGCCUGAACCAGCCAAGUCGCGUGAGGGAUGAAGGUUCUAUGGAUCGUAAACCUCUUUUAUAAGGGAAUAAAGUGCGGGACGUGUCCCGUUUUGUAUGUACCUUAUGAAUAAGGAUCGGCUAACUCCGUGCCAGCAGCCGCGGUAAUACGGAGGAUCCGAGCGUUAUCCGGAUUUAUUGGGUUUAAAGGGUGCGUAGGCGGCCUUUUAAGUCAGCGGUGAAAGUCUGUGGCUCAACCAUAGAAUUGCCGUUGAAACUGGGGGGCUUGAGUAUGUUUGAGGCAGGCGGAAUGCGUGGUGUAGCGGUGAAAUGCUUAGAUAUCACGCAGAACCCCGAUUGCGAAGGCAGCCUGCCAAGCCAUGACUGACGCUGAUGCACGAAAGCGUGGGGAUCAAACAGGAUUAGAUACCCUGGUAGUCCACGCAGUAAACGAUGAUCACUAGCUGUUUGCGAUACAGUGUAAGCGGCACAGCGAAAGCGUUAAGUGAUCCACCUGGGGAGUACGCCGGCAACGGUGAAACUCAAAGGAAUUGACGGGGGCCCGCACAAGCGGAGGAACAUGUGGUUUAAUUCGAUGAUACGCGAGGAACCUUACCCGGGUUUGAACGCAUUCGGACCGAGGUGGAAACACCUUUUCUAGCAAUAGCCGUUUGCGAGGUGCUGCAUGGUUGUCGUCAGCUCGUGCCGUGAGGUGUCGGCUUAAGUGCCAUAACGAGCGCAACCCUUGCCACUAGUUACUAACAGGUAAAGCUGAGGACUCUGGUGGGACUGCCAGCGUAAGCUGCGAGGAAGGCGGGGAUGACGUCAAAUCAGCACGGCCCUUACAUCCGGGGCGACACACGUGUUACAAUGGCGUGGACAAAGGGAAGCCACCUGGCGACAGGGAGCGAAUCCCCAAACCACGUCUCAGUUCGGAUCGGAGUCUGCAACCCGACUCCGUGAAGCUGGAUUCGCUAGUAAUCGCGCAUCAGCCAUGGCGCGGUGAAUACGUUCCCGGGCCUUGUACACACCGCC
rnacentral:rRNA from 1 species